UACGUAGGGUGCGAGCGUUAAUCGGAAUUACUGGGCGUAAAGCGUGCGCAGGCGGUUCGCUAAGACAGAUGUGAAAUCCCCGGGCUUAACCUGGGAACUGCAUUUGUGACUGGCGGGCUAGAGUAUGGCAGAGGGGGGUAGAAUUCCACGUGUAGCAGUGAAAUGCGUAGAGAUGUGGAGGAAUACCGAUCGCGAAGGCAGCCCCCUGGGCCAAUACUGACGCUCAUGCACGAAAGCGUAGGGAGCAAACAGG
rnacentral:rRNA from 1 species